CCUACGGGUGGCAGCAGUGGGGAAUAUUGGGCAAUGGGCGCAAGCCUGACCCAGCAACGCCGCGUGAAGGAAGAAGGCUUUCGGGUUGUAAACUUCUUUUAAGAGGGAAGAGCAGAAGACGGUACCACUUGAAUAAGCCACGGCUAACUACGUGCCAGCAGCCGCGGUAAUACGGGGGAGGCAAGCGUUAUCCGGAUUUAUUGGGUUUAAAGGGUGCGUAGGCUGUGAGGUAAGUCAGCGGUGAAAUGCCCCCGCUCAACGGGGUGAAGUGCCAUUGAUACUGCCUUGCUGGAAUGCGGAUGCGGUAGGAGGAAUGUGUGGUGUAGCGGUGAAAUGCAUAGAUAUCACACAGAACACCGAUUGCGAAGGCAUCUCACGAAUCCGCGAUUGACGCUGAUGCACGAAAGCGUGGGUAGCAAACAGGAUUAGAUACCCUUGUAGUC
rnacentral:rRNA from 1 species